rnacentral:rRNA from 1 species
AGUGAACGCUGGCGGUAGGCCUAACACAUGCAAGUCGAACGGCAGCACAGUAAGAGCUUGCUCUUACGGGUGGCGAGUGGCGGACGGGUGAGGAAUACAUCGGAAUCUACUUUUUCGUGGGGGAUAACGUAGGGAAACUUACGCUAAUACCGCAUACGACCUACGGGUGAAAGCAGGGGAUCUUCGGACCUUGCGCGAUUGAAUGAGCCGAUGUCGGAUUAGCUAGUUGGCGGGGUAAAGGCCCACCAAGGCGACGAUCCGUAGCUGGUCUGAGAGGAUGGUCAGCCACACUGGAACUGAGACACGGUCCAGACUCCUACGGGAGGCAGCAGUGGGGAAUAGUGGACAAUGGGCGCAAGCCUGAUCCAGCCAUACCGCGUGGGUGAAGAAGGCCUUCGGGUUGUAAAGCCCUUUUGUUGGGAAAGAAAAGCAGCAGGUUAAUACCCCGCUGUUCUGACGGUACCCAAAGAAUAAGCACCGGCUAACUUCGU